GCCUAACACAUGCAAGUCGAACGGGACUUAGUGGAAAGCGGCUUCGGCCAAUGGAAGCUAAGUUUAGUGGCGAACGGGUGAGUAACGCGUGAGGAACCUGCCUUCCAGUGGGGGACAACAGUUGGAAACGACUGCUAAUACCGCAUAACAUAAUCGAACCGCAUGAUUUGAUUAUCAAAGCUUUAUGUGCUGGAAGAUGGCCUCGGGUCUGAUUAGCUAGUUGGUGGGGUAACGGCCUACCAAGGCGACGAUCAGUAGCCGGUCCGAAAGGAUGAACGGCCACAGUGGGGCUGAGAUACGGCCCAGACUCCUACGGGAGGCAGCAGUGGGGAAUAUUGGGCAAUGGGGGGAACCCUGACCCAGCAACGCCGCGUGAAGGAAGAAGGCCUUCGGGUUGUAAACUUCUUUUACCAGGGACGAAGAACGUGACGGUACCUGGAGAAAAAGCAACGGCUAACUACGUGCCAGCCGCCGCCGUAAUAC
rnacentral:rRNA from 1 species